UUGGAGGGUAUGAAAUGAAUGGUGCAAAAUCCUGCAUUCUAGGCAUUUUUAGAGAGUUUGAUAAUGUUUUGAAUUUGGACACUUUUUAUAUAAAUUUUUCAUAUUUUAUAACACCAAAUUUUUAACAACUUUAUUUAAAUUUAUAUGUAAGACAAUCAUUCAAAUAUCACUGAUUUGAGUCUGUUGCCAGAACAUAGAAGUUAGAACAAACAUCGAUUCAGAAGAGUUUGCCAAAUUUUUCAAUGGCCGGUUCAGUCAAAUCGUUUCAGAAUCAUAACUUGGUCUGCUGAUAUCCUUAUCGCGAUGCACAUGGAGCAUAGCAAGACCGCACAAUCUCUCGCCACUUCUGCAUGCUCUUUUCGAAGUUUUCAGUCGUUUCAGGGCAGUCUGUGUUUCUAAAGAUAGCACAUUAUCAUCAACACAAUGAUCGAUGUCUUCUUCCAUUCCUUCUCCAUCAGCAAUUCGGUAGCAGCUUUUGUUUGCAAAAGGGAAUUAAGCUUUCCUGUAAGCACCAUCAUACAGUCGCAGUUACAAAAUAUUAAACUCGCUUUUAUGCUGACAAAGAGUAGACAAGCUAGGGAUAGAAUGAGAUAACAUACAUGUGAUAUGAUUUUAUCUAUAGAGUAAGUAUAUAUGAUAUGGGUACAGGAAAAUUGGAAUGGAGUUUUGGACGUUUACAUGUAGUACCGUAAUUUCAAAUUAUUUCUGGAAAUAGUUGGUGGUAUUUUAGUUUCAGAAUCUAUAAAUUUAGGGGUUAGGGGUUUGGGGUGUCCGAUUCCGAAACCCCCGAAUAUAGAAUAUAAAGAAACGAAAUUCAGUAGUCCCGAAUAAGUAAAGCACAAAAUACUGUGUUAAAAGGUUUUUACCAUUUCGCAAUAAUAUCAAAUUGGAACCUGGGAUAUUUUUUCAACUUUUAAGGUUAAAGAAACAUGGAUAAAAACUAAUCCAUGCAUUCAUGUUUCAUAUUAUUUAUAUUUUAUUUAUCUGUAAAGAGAAAGAUUAAAGUUCGUGAAAUGAAUAAGCAGAUAGGACUGCCCCUUGUGAUGCCCAGUACUUGAUUUGUCAAAAGUUGGUGAAACGGAGAAAUGAAUACGCAGACAGGACUGUCCCUUCCGAAGACCAGUACUUGAUUUGUCAGUCUACUUAUCGUUUUUGGAUUGUUCUAAUGAAGUUAUAUGCAAUACUCAGACUCUGUUUAAAAAAAACUAGUUUACUAGAAUUAUUCCUUCUUUACCUUCAGUGUCGCUUUUCCUUUUUCUGCAAGAGCCUUUUAUAUAAAGAUCCAUGAUGAUUAUCGUUACUAGGUUAAUGUAAUCGAGAAACAUCACCCGCUGAGAUGCUGAGUUAUAUCCAGGAAGAAUAUUUUAAAAAGAAUGAUGACAAGUUAUAGCAAUCAAGGUUGAGACAGAACAACAAAUGACUAUUAAAUUUAUAUAUAUGUAUAAAAAAAAAUUAAUCAGUGUCGAAAUGUUAGUGAGGCAAUUGCCUCACUU
rnacentral:lncRNA from 1 species